rnacentral:rRNA from 1 species
UACGUAGGGGGCAAGCGUUGUCCGGAUUUAUUGGGUUUAAAGGGUGCGUAGGCGGUCCUAUAAGUCAGUGCUGAAAUAUCCCGGCUUAACCGGGAGGGUGGCAUUGAUACUGUAGGACUUGAGUAAAGUUGAGGUUGGCGGAAUUGACGGUGUAGCGGUGAAAUGCUUAGAUAUCGUCAAGAACACCUAUUGCGAAGGCAGCUAACUAAGCUUUAACUGACGCUGAGGCACGAAAGUGUGGGGAUCAAACAGG